rnacentral:lncRNA from 1 species
UUGCCACAAAUCUAUCGUUGCCAAUACAUUUAUUAAUAACAACGAAUUUAUGUCGUUGCAACACAUAAAUCGUUGCCAAUACAUUAAUCACUAAGAACGAAAUACAUCGUUGCCAAUACAUUAAUCAUUAAGAACAAAAUUGUAUUUCGUUGCAACAUAUUUAUUGUUGCCAAUACAUGACUUAUUUUCGACCGCACCCGCUAGCCCGACCUUUGGACUGCCGACCCGACCUUUAGACCGCCGAACCGCUUCAGAAUCCGAAUUGUUGGGUUAAACUCAUGAUUUCGCCCAAUAGGCUAACCCGCUUGAUAAAUGUCAAAUAUAUGGAGACAUGACAAUAGUAAGAGUCGAACUCUGGUUGAUUUGAAGUUAGACACCCUUCACACCGCUGGG